rnacentral:rRNA from 1 species
GACGAACGCUGGCGGCGUGCUUAACACAUGCAAGUCGAACGGAAAGGCCCUGCUUUUGUGGGGUGCUCGAGUGGCGAACGGGUGAGUAACACGUGAGUAACCUGCCCUUGACUUUGGGAUAACUUCAGGAAACUGGGGCUAAUACCGGAUAGGAGCUCCUGCUGCAUGGUGGGGGUUGGAAAGUUUCGGCGGUUGGGGAUGGACUCGCGGCUUAUCAGCUUGUUGGUGAGGUAGUGGCUUACCAAGGCUUUGACGGGUAGCCGGCCUGAGAGGGUGACCGGCCACAUUGGGACUGAGAUACGGCCCAGACUCCUACGGGAGGCAGCAGUGGGGAAUAUUGCACAAUGGGCGGAAGCCUGAUGCAGCAACGCCGCGUGCGGGAUGACGGCCUUCGGGUUGUAAACCGCUUUCGCCUGUGACGAAGCGUGAGUGACGGUAAUGGGUAAAGAAGCACCGGCUAACCACGUG